GGCUACGUGGCGCAACGGUAGCGCGUGAGACUCCAGAUCUUAAGGUUGUAGGUUCAAAUCCUGCCCGUGGGUCA
rnacentral:tRNA from 1 species